rnacentral:lncRNA from 1 species
CAGCCAUCACUUUUGACGAGGAAGGAAAGUUCACUGCUUUUCCAGGGAGGAAAGGACACAGGAGGCUCAGGGUGAGGUGGGACGCCCUCAGCUAGAGCAAUGGCGGUGCUUGGGGCCGCGUGCCGACCAUCCUCUGUGCCACCACAACCUGCCCGUGUCCCUGGACGGCCUCAAUGAACCUCAUCCAACACCCAAAACUCUUUUAUUAAAAAAAAAAAAAAAAUCUUCCUUCCCUCAAUUAGAGGCAAAGGGAAAAAAAAAAGAAGAAUUGGGGUCAACGCGAAGCAGCCGUAUUUUAGCCGUCCUUUGGGAGCCGAUCUGCGCUCACACUGUGGGUGUUCUCAUUGCACACACUGAACAGGAGACGUUUUCCCUUAGUAGGACAGGCUCUGUGCUGCAGCCCUUCUCGCCCGGCCAUAAAAGGGCAGCGAUUUCGGUGCGACCCCCGGGCCCUCCCGGCCUGGUCGGCCGCAUCCCGGCGCUGCUGCUUCCAACCUCCUCGCCUUUGGCUCGCUCUUCUCUCACGCCUUUUGUUUUGUCUCUCUCCUCCUCUCUGGAGGCUGCAGGGAUUGAGGCCAGAGAGCCUCCAGGAAUGUUCUUGCCUUCCCUAUUUUUUUUUUUUCCCCUCUCUCUCUCUCUCUCUUGGCCUGAUGUGAUCCCUGCCUUUCCAUGCUCCCUGUGCCUGCCCAGAAAAUCAGUUGCUGGGUGAAAACCAGUUGCUGGGCCAGCAGUACAUCCCCAAAGGGUCGGCUGUCCCCCUUCAUCCUGUGGGUGAGGCCCUGCCCACCUGCAGGGCUCUUCCACCCCCUGCUCCGCUCUGUGCUGCGGCCUGAUUGGGUGCUGCCAUGUCA